GCUCAGAUUGAACGCUGGCGGCAGGCCUAACACAUGCAAGUCGAGCGGUAGCACAGAGAGCUUGCUCUCGGGUGACGAGCGGCGGACGGGUGAGUAAUGUCUGGGAAACUGCCUGAUGGAGGGGGAUAACUACUGGAAACGGUAGCUAAUACCGCAUAACGUCGCAAGACCAAAGUGGGGGACCUUCGGGCCUCAUGCCAUCAGAUGUGCCCAGAUGGGAUUAGCUAGUAGGUGGGGUAACGGCUCACCUAGGCGACGAUCCCUAGCUGGUCUGAGAGGAUGACCAGCCACACUGGAACUGAGACACGGUCCAGACUCCUACGGGAGGCAGCAGUGGGGAAUAUUGCACAAUGGGCGCAAGCCUGAUGCAGCCAUGCCGCGUGUGUGAAGAAGGCCUUCGGGUUGUAAAGCACUUUCAGCGGGGAGGAAGGCGUUAAGGUUAAUAACCUUGGCGAUUGACGUUACCCGCAGAAGAAGCACCGGCUAACUCCGUGCCAGCAGCCGCGGUAAUACGGAGGGUGCAAGCGUUAAUCGGAAUUACUGGGCGUAAAGCGCACGCAGGCGGUCUGUCAAGUCGGAUGUGAAAUCCCCGGGCUCAACCUGGGAACUGCAUUCGAAACUGGCAGGCUAGAGUCUUGUAGAGGGGGGUAGAAUUCCAGGUGUAGCGGUGAAAUGCGUAGAGAUCUGGAGGAAUACCGGUGGCGAAGGCGGCCCCCUGGACAAAGACUGACGCUCAGGUGCGAAAGCGUGGGGAGCAAACAGGAUUAGAUACCCUGGUAGUCCACGCCGUAAACGAUGUCGAUUUGGAGGUUGUGCCCUUGAGGCGUGGCUUCCGGAGCUAACGCGUUAAAUCGACCGCCUGGGGAGUACGGCCGCAAGGUUAAAACUCAAAUGAAUUGACGGGGGCCCGCACAAGCGGUGGAGCAUGUGGUUUAAUUCGAUGCAACGCGAAGAACCUUACCUGGUCUUGACAUCCACAGAACUUUCCAGAGAUGGAUUGGUGCCUUCGGGAACUGUGAGACAGGUGCUGCAUGGCUGUCGUCAGCUCGUGUUGUGAAAUGUUGGGUUAAGUCCCGCAACGAGCGCAACCCUUAUCCUUUGUUGCCAGCGGUCAGGCCGGGAACUCAAAGGAGACUGCCAGUGAUAAACUGGAGGAAGGUGGGGAUGACGUCAAGUCAUCAUGGCCCUUACGACCAGGGCUACACACGUGCUACAAUGGCAUAUACAAAGAGAAGCGACCUCGCGAGAGCAAGCGGACCUCAUAAAGUAUGUCGUAGUCCGGAUUGGAGUCUGCAACUCGACUCCAUGAAGUCGGAAUCGCUAGUAAUCGUAGAUCAGAAUGCUACGGUGAAUACGUUCCCGGGCCUUGUACACACCGCCCGUCACACCAUGGGAGUGGGUUGCAUAAAGAAGUAGUAGCUUAACCCUUCGGGAGGGCGCUUACCACUUUGUGAUUCAUGAC
rnacentral:rRNA from 1 species